rnacentral:rRNA from 1 species
GCAGCUUGCUGCUUUGCUGACGAGUGGCGGACGGGUGAGUAAUGUCUGGGAAACUGCCUGAUGGAGGGGGAUAACUACUGGAAACGGUGGCUAAUACCGCAUAACGUCGCAAGACCAAAGAGGGGGACCUUCGGGCCUCUUGCCAUCAGAUGUGCCCAGAUGGGAUUAGCUUGUUGGUGAGGUAACGGCUCACCAAGGCGACGAUCCCUAGCUGGUCUGAGAGGAUGACCAGCCACACUGGAACUGAGACACGGUCCAGACUCCUACGGGAGGCAGCAGUGGGGAAUAUUGCACAAUGGGCGCAAGCCUGAUGCAGCCAUGCCGCGUGUAUGAAGAAGGCCUUCGGGUUGUAAAGUACUUUCAGCGGGGAGGAAGGUGUUGUGGUUAAUAACCGCAGCAAUUGACGUUACCCGCAGAAGAAGCACCGGCUAACUCCGUGCCAGCAGCCGCGGUAAUACGGAGGGUGCAAGCGU